CCUACGGGAGGCAGCAGUGAGGAAUAUUGGUCAAUGGACGCAAGUCUGAACCAGCCAUGCCGCGUGCAGGAAGACGGCUCUAUGAGUUGUAAACUGCUUUUGUACGAGGGUAAACGCAGAUACGCGUAUCUGUCUGAAAGUAUCGUACGAAUAAGGAUCGGCUAACUCCGGGCCAGCAGCGGCGGUAAUAUGGAGGAUUCAAGCGUUACCCGGAUUGAUUGGGUUUAAAGGGUGCGUAGGCGGUCGGAUAAGUUAGAGGUGAAAUCCCGAGGCUCAACUUCGGAAUUGCCUCUGAUACUGUUCGGCUAGAGAGUAGUUGCGGUAGGCAGAAUGUAUGGUGUAGCGGUGAAAUGCUUAGAGAUCAUACAGAACACCGAUUGCGAAGGCAGCUUACCAAGCUACUUCUGACGUUGAGGCACGAAAGCGUGGGGAGCAAACAGGAUUAGAUACCCGGGUAGUC
rnacentral:rRNA from 1 species